rnacentral:ncRNA from 1 species
UAAAAUUAGCGCCAGACCUUGUUACAGAGCGGUGUACAGGGUUGACGAGGACGAAGGUUAUCGAAAAUUCGGCGGAUGCCUUUGCGUGAUUAUGGGAGCAUGUUAUCCUUCAGACAAAAUACCGGGUAACCGGGGCACAAAAACUGAUGGA